ensembl:lncRNA
UUUUGUUGAAAAAUCCCUUUCAUUCUCCGGGGUACACGGGAAAGAUGCAAAUUAAAAGCGAGGGUCGACCUCUGCCUGAGAUCAGUUUAAUCAAGAAGGAUGAAAAGGCGAGGGCGUUCAAUACCAACAGGUAUCAAAAGUAUAGCUGGUUAACAUGGAGCAUUUCAUCAAGCCGCCUUAAUUGCUGGCCUUGCCUGCUUUUUGGAAAGUCUGAGGUUUGUUCGAAAGGUGGGUACAGUGACCAGAAGAACAUCGACCAUUCUGCUAAACGGCAAAACAAAAGCAGGGAGCAUAUAAAUGCCCACAUCAGAUUCAAGCUUCUGGGAAAAAGCUGCAUCGAUUAUGACAAAGGUCUGCAUAUUCAAGCUGCGCAACACAACGAUAAAGUAAGAAGAAACAGGGAUGUUCUCAAGCGGCUUAUCAACACCACUGCGUUUUUGUGCAUGCAAAGAUUUGCAUUUAGAGGACACGACGAGAGGGAAAGUUCCGCCAAGAAGGGCAACUAUAAUGAGCUUGCAGAGCUAAGUCCCCUCCUGUUCCCUGAUUAAGAGGUGAUGACUACUCCACUCAACUUCCACUGUCAACUUACUCAUGACAUGAACUGAAGCCACAUCUCAUGUGCCUACUCAUCCACUGGCACAUUGAAUGUUUUCCCUCCACUCACUUCAACUCCUGUCCUGCACUGGUCAAGCCUCUGAACACCUCAACUCAUGCCUCAUACCCUCAUUCAAGCCCUGCUGUGAUCCCUUUCCAACUGUACACACAAAGUGAAGAGUUCACCCGAACGUCCCAAGGCCCCACUUAUGGAGUGGUGGAGUAUGGGUAAUGGCUUUGUUUUUCCAUACCACCUCUGAGGACACCCGUCAUCCAUCCUGCUACCCUCUCUCCUGAACGCAUUUCCCCAGAGCACCUGACAUACAAUUAAACACAUCGACUCCCCCACUGAAGCCUCUCCUCGUCAAGAACAUGAGCAGCCACUGCAGAUGGACCGCAACUCAGAGUUGGACUCCUGGGAGAACAUUUUGGGGCUGGAAGGUGGCUACUGCAACAAGAGUGCUGUAACUUAAGCUCUAGCAUCCAAUUAGUUCCGCCACCUAUCGGACUGAAUAUUCUGAUGAUUGCGCUGGGUCAGAGGCUAGUCUGUGUAGGUGCUUAAGAGGGAGUAUCCAUUCACAGAGGAGCAUACUGUAGUUAUGUAAGUCCUCUGUUCUGUGCCUACUCCACCUCAACAACAUUGACAGGGGCAAAGGGAGGGAUUUUAUGGGCAAUCAGACUGGCCCUGUAGCCAACCACUUGCUCAGCUGUGCCAGGUCCUAGGUCACUCCCAGCAGCACUCUCUAGUGUAAUUUAUGAAGUUAAGUGCAAUGCUUUCAUCAAUUUCCCAGUUCUAAUUUCU